rnacentral:rRNA from 1 species
CCAGACUCCUACGGGAGGCAGCAGUGGGGGAUAUUGCACAAUGGGGGAAACCCUGAUGCAGCGACGCCGCGUGGGUGAAGAAGCGCCUCGGCGCGUAAAGCCCUGUCAGCAGGGAAGAAAAUGACGGUACCUGAAGAAGAAGCCCCGGCUAACUACGUGCCAGCAGCCGCGGUAAUACGUAGGGGGCACGCGUUAUCCGGAUUUACUGGGUGUAAAGGGAGCGUAGACGGCGAUGCAAGUCUGAAGUGAAAGCCCGGGGCUCAACCCCGGGACUGCGUUGGAAACUGUAUGGCUGGAGUGCUGGAGAGGCAAGCGGAAUUCCUAGUGUAGCGGUGAAAUGCGUAGAUAUUAGGAAGAACACCAGUGGCGAAGGCGGCUUGCUGGACAGUAACUGACGUUGAGGCUCGAAAGCGUGGGGAGCAAACAGGAUUAGAUACCCGAGUAGA